rnacentral:rRNA from 1 species
AGAGUUUGAUCCUGGCUCAGGACGAACGCUGGCGGCGUGCCUAACACAUGCAAGUCGAGCGGGGACAUGCGACGGAGCGGAAGUUUUCGGAUGGAAGUGAAGAUGUAUGUUCUAGCGGCGGACGGGUGAGUAACGCGUGAGCAACCUGUCCUUCACAGGGGGAUAACACAGCGAAAGUUGUACUAAUACCGCAUAAGACCACAGGGAGACAUCUUCCAGGGGUCAAAGGAGUAAUCCGGUGAAGGGUGGGCUCGCGUCCGAUUAGAUAGUUGGUGAGGUAACGGCCCACCAAGUCAACGAUCGGUAGCCGACCUGAGAGGGUGAUCGGCCACAUUGGGACUGAGACACGGCCCAAACUCCUACGGGAGGCAGCAGUGGGGAAUAUUGGGCAAUGGGGGGAACCCUGACCCAGCAACGCCGCGUGAGGGAAGAAGGUUUUCGGAUCGUAAACCUCUGUCCUUGGUGAAGAGGAAGAGACGGUAGCCAAGGAGGAAGCCCCGGCUAACUACGUGCCAGCAGCCGCGGUAAUACGUAGGGGGCGAGCGUUGUCCGGAAUGAUUGGGCGUAAAGGGCGCGUAGGCGGCCCGGUAAGUCUGAAGUGAAAGUCCUGGUUUUAAGUUGGGAAUUGCUUUGGAUACUGUCGGGCUUGAGUGCAGGAGAGGUAAGUGGAAUUCCCAGUGUAGCGGUGAAAUGCGUAGAG